rnacentral:piRNA from 1 species
UCUCUGGAAACGCACUGUGGAUGAACGC